rnacentral:rRNA from 1 species
GAUAAACGCUGGCGGCGCACAUAAGACAUGCAAGUCGAACGGACUUAACUCAUUCUUUUAGAUUGAGAGCGGUUAGUGGCGGACUGGUGAGUAACACGUAAGCAACCUGCCUAUUAGAGGGGAAUAACAGACCGAAAGGCCUGCUAAUACCGCAUGAUACAGUUGGGUCGCAUGACUCUGACUGUCAAAGAUUUAUCGCUCUGAGAUGGCCUCGCGUCUGAUUAGCUAGUUGGCGGGGUAACGGCCCACCAAGGCGACGAUCAGUAGCCGGACUGAGAGGUUGACCGGCCACAUUGGGACUGAGACACGGCCCAG